rnacentral:rRNA from 1 species
CACUCCUACGGGAGGCAGCAGUGGGGAAUUUUGGACAAUGGGCGAAAGCCUGAUCCUGCCAUGCCGCGUGCAGGAUGAAGGCCUUCGGGUUGUAAACUGCUUUUGUACGGAACGAAACGGCCUUUUCUAAUAAAGAGGGCUAAUGACGGUACCGUAAGAAUAAGCACCGGCUAACUACGUGCCAGCAGCCGCGGUAAUACGUAGGGUGCAAGCGUUAAUCGGAAUUACUGGGCGUAAAGCGUGCGCAGGCGGUUAUGUAAGACAGUUGUGAAAUCCCCGGGCUCAACCUGGGAACUGCAUCUGUGACUGCAUAGCUAGAGUACGGUAGAGGGGGAUGGAAUUCCGCGUGUAGCAGUGAAAUGCGUAGAUAUGCGGAGGAACACCGAUGGCGAAGGCAAUCCCCUGGACCUGUACUGACGCUCAUGCACGAAAGCGUGGGGAGCAAACAGGAUUAGAUACCCUUGUAGUCCCA